AACUUCAUGUCAAUUUUUGAACUUCCCCCUUUAUUUAUUUCCUUCUCCACAUUCCUAUCACUGCGCCCUCUCUCCUCUCCAGCCCCAUCCCACCUAUCACCACUAACUCUUCCACUUACAUCAGCCCUCUCCUUUUUGAGGUGAGCUUUCUCUUUUCUCCUCUUUGAAGACACGUACUCCUCUGAAGCCUCACCGUUCCCAUCACCACUCAGAUCUUUACAAUCCUUGCCUUUUCGGACCUGCGAUGAAAUUUUAUGCUUCUCACCACUGGCAGAAUCCCGAUAAGCCCUCAUCGAAUCACCUUUGCUACUUUUUUCCUUCAUCUUCACAUCUUCUUCAGAAUCCGAACUAUCCUUAUCCUUAGCCUCCUUCGAACUGUGUUUGCUAUGUUUAUGUGAUUUGUGCCUCGAACUCUGCGGCAUACCUGUAGUUUCACUUCUCUUAACUUUACACAAGCCCAAAUCCUAACUCUCCAAAUAAUGCCGUCCAACAAAAAAAUUCAAAAUUAUCAAUGCAAGAUAAUUUGCCAAGACACGCAAAAAAGCCCUAACAUUUCAAAAUUUCAAUACCCUAAUUAGGACGGUUCCACGACAAACCUUCAAAAACAAAUAGAAAUCAGUCGAAAUAACUAAUAACAUUUCUCCAGUGAAACAGUAAUCGGAAUCCAAAAAAAUUGGUGCCGGAAAAUUAACCGUUGACACUCCGACGACUUUUACUAAUCAGAUCGCUCGCUGGAGAAAAAAGCACAGAAUCUAUUUCCACGACACUGUAUGUCAUAUAAAGAUAUAGAGAAGUAUAGAUGCAUAUAUGGAGUGUGCAUAUAAUCGAUAGAUAUAGAGAGAGAAAAGUAAAAGUGAAGAGGAACAGUAAAUUGAGGGCGAGAGGUAGGUGAAGGGGUUGGAUUUUUGUUGCUUGAAAUAAAAAUAAAUAAAUAACUAAAUAAAAUCUUCGUUCCCUCCAUAAACUAAGCCUCAUCGUUAAAAAGAAAAAUAUAAUCAUUAUUCAUCACAUCAAAUCAUAAAAUUUGAAUUUUUAUUUCUUAUGUAGGACACGUAACGACUAUAUUUUUCAUUUCCAUUCUUCAAAAAAUAAGAAACAAACGAGAGCUAAAUAUAUUCACACUACAAUUUUUAACAAGAAUAAUUAGCACAUAACAUCAUUUUUUUUCAUUAUUAUUGUGCAAAACGUUCAUAUUUUUAUUUUUUUGACAUUUUUUCUUGGAUAAAACUAUUUGCACAAAAUUUGGUUGACAAUAUGGUUUACUCACUCUCACAUUUAUGAGGAUCCCCCUUACAUUAAAAAAUUCGAUCAUGUGGUUCAUAUUAUUCUAUUGUGAGAGUGUGUAAAACUUUCAGUACAAAUAUAUUUGUACAUGUAACAUAAUCCUUUUUUCUUCUAAUUAUACAUUUGAUUGUUCAAAACGUCUUUCCACCCAUUUUCAUCAAACUUCUUCAUUGAGUGUGGUCAAAUUUUUUUUUUUAUAAGGAACAGAUAUUUCUUCUUAAAACAUUUUUCCUCUUUCUUCCCCUGUUUUGAACCCAUUGAAUCCAAUUUUUCUCUCCUCUCUCGUAUAAAACCAUCUCGUUUUCUCUCAAUAUGUAACCCAUUUUCAUCACUUAACUCUUUCUUCAGUUUCAAAGAAGGGUAGUUUGAGAAAUUUUCAUGGCGGUGACGAAGAAAGCUAAUACGGCUAUUAAUGGAGUUAAGGAAAAGGCUAAUAAGGUUGUCAAUGAAUUUAACGAAGCACACUAUAAGGGUGAAAAGGAAGAGGUCGUGGCCAUUACCCUAUAGAGAUUCGUGAUCUCAGGAAGAAGAACCGUGUUUUGUUGGGCACGAACGACGCAACGGAAGAGGCAACGUGUGCUUAUGAUACCAUCGUUCAUAAUUUCCGUAGGUCUAAACCUAAACUUUCUUUUACUAUCUGAGGUGCAUAGCCCCCAGCCAAAGCAACACCGUAGAGUCAUCAAGUGUCGGGCAAUCAAUACUCAUCCGCGAUUGAGCUUGAAAGCAUUUCAAUCUCAGUUUGGAAUUCACGCACCUUGUUCUGAGACUGGGUUCCCAUGCUUAAUUGCCAUUUUGGUUCCGCCAUCAAUUUCUCCACACUUUUCCAAGCCCUUUGUCUUGGUGGUAGCCUGGAUUUCAGCAAUUGAGAAAUAGCGACAAAGGUUUGAAGUUAGGGAGAAGCAGUUAUUCCAGUGGUGAUGGUCUUUGUAGCUCCUAAAGAAUGUGAAUUUCCAAUGGUGAUGGUAGUCCUUGUACUAGAAGCAUUUUUAUUCUUCCGACUUCUUGAGACAAAACAAACAAAUAAACCAAGAAGGACUGCAACAAUUCCACCUCCAAUUCCUUCAAUAAUGGCUCUAUGAUUUGAUCGACGUGUCCCAGACAAUGAUCUUGAAGUGGUGUUCGACUGAUACCUACGAGAUUAUCUCUGGGAUCAUUUACUUUGAAUAUUUCAACACCAUUUGACGCCAUGGCCAAGUCGAAGAAUUUCACCCAAUGUACAUCCAGUUCUGUACUUUGAUUUGUCGCUAGCAUACUGGCUGAAUAGGCUUCGAUUCAGUUUUCCCAACAGCGACGAUGGCGACGUGUAGAGUGAUUCGGAUUCUUCUUUUUGGUGCUGAUGAGAAUCAAAUUGAUACAAAGAAAUUAAAUGUUAUUUUUCAGAGGGAAAAAACAAUGGAGACAAAAAGAGUUCAAAAAAAGGGACUACACUUAGCAGAGAAGUUGGAUGGAAAUGAACGAAAGGAUGUUUGCGCAAUCAAAUUGUAAUUAAGGGUGAAAAUGUUAAAAAAAGAAAGAUAUGGAUGUUUUGCACAAUAAUAAUAAAAGGUAUGGAUGUUAUAUGCUAAUUACCAUUUUAAUAAUUAGAUUAUAUUUUAAUUGCAUAAAAUGCUUAUAAUCUUUACACAUUAUUAUAUUUGUGUCUCAAACUUUUUUCAUUGUAUUCAUAUUCUCGAGGUAAUAUAAAUUGUUCCUAAUUAUGUUUUCUUUCCAAAUUUUUCUUUAAAAUAAAGCAAAAAAACUCAUUUGCUCAUUGUAUUUCUUAAUAAGCAAAAUAAAUAAUAUUGUAAAAAUACGAUUAAGUAUUUGACCCUCAUUUUAAAGCAUGUUACCUACAUUUUUGAAUGGAAACAAUGAUUGAGGACACAAUUUUCUAAUUAAUAAAUUUUUAAAAUGUAAUUACCUUUAAUGUAAUUAAAAUGUGAGGUAAAUAUAACCAUUUUUUUGAUACUGUCGAUAUUGGAGCGGAGAUGAAUGGAAUGUACCAAGGCCAAUCACAAAUUGUUUAGCUUUUGUUUUUAAUAUUGUUAAAUUAUGAGAUAAUUAUUGAUAUCGGUUUAGUCUUAUUAGAUUCUUAAAUAAAUCCUAUUUACUUAAAAAUAGUGUAUUCUAUUCAAAUUAUGACUCUCAUUUUGAACUCUAUAAAUAUGUGUCCAUUAAUUCAUUCUAUUCUUCUCUUAUUUUUUUAGUUUUAUAACAUGUUAUCAACAUGAAUGGUCUCAUCAAAAAUAAAGAGAAAAGUCGAAAUUGAAUAAAACAUGCUAUCAACAUGAAUGAUCUCAUCAAAAAUAAAGAGAAAAGUCGAAAUUGAAAGUGAAGAAAAUUCAUAGAAUUUGGACAGUUUGCACGAAUGUGAUAAAAACGUUGAUAUCUCAGCAUCAUUUGGUUCGAUCGUCGUGAAAUUUAGACAAUAAGUUCAUAACCCAUUGUUCUUCAAUUCCAAUGACUUUUCCAUGAUAAAUUUGUAAUUGAACAAUAGCCAAAUUCUUGUAAAAAUUUUCAUUAAAGAAUUAGUAUACUAUACCCAUCCACCCAUCAAUCUCAAUAUAUAAAUUGCCAUGUUUUAUUAUUCCGUAUUAAUUAUAGUCAGUACAGUGUAGAUAUUAAAUUUAUGUAAUUGAUUUGCAAAAAGUAGUGCACUACUAUUUUUGAAGGAGUAUAGACAUGUCCAAUAGAUCGUGUCAACAUUUGUUUUAAGGAAAUUAAUUUUGACAUACCUCGAAAUUUACUCCAUUUCUGCCUUUUAUAUUUUUAUUUAAAUAGUGCUAGUCGAUUCUGAUAACAUGUAGUAGACUAAAAUACUUACCUUUUAUUUUGCAAACUAUAUAGAAUUACCACAAAAAGUUACAGAACCAAUUUUCUAAUGAGAGGACAAAUUGUGUGGUUUGUUGGAAUAUAUGUAUCCAUGGAUUUUCCCUAAAUCUUAAAAAAAAAAAAAAAAUUUAUUUUCCAAUAUUAAGUUUGUGUUUGACCCCUAUUUUUUAAAAUCAUUCUUUCCUCAUACUCAUUUUCAAUUACAUAUUUCAUGGAAUUUAUAAAAUUUUUCAACUUUUUAAUUACAUAUUUCAUCAAUUUUUAUUAAAUUUAUUAAAAAUAUAAUUUUUUUUUUAAAUUUAAACCAAACAUGGACUAAAUAUUAAAAAGCUAUUUCUUUUAGAAAGAUAUUGAAAAAUGUUGUUUUCUUUUGUGGUAAUACAAAUCACUACCACCAUCACUAUCACUACAACUAUCACUACUACAUUAAAAGAGAGACGCCAGUUUCACUAUUAAUUCAUGUAGUACCCCUUUUUACACCUAUCUAGUUCAUACUGUUCAUUAUCCGGAUUGGGCUAAACGAUGUCGUUGGGGGGGGGGGGGGCACACCAAUGGACCACAUGUGCUAUCCACACUCAAUUCUAUCUAUUAAUACAUUAAACCAUUUAUAAAUUCUUCCCAAAUGGAGGCCAUAAGAACAAAAAAAUUUAAACCAACUCACAUAGCUUUUUGGUUCAAAAUAUCCAAGAAGACCUUUGUACAAUAUUUUUAAAUUUCGCAAUUGCAAGACUACGAUCAGAACUUUACUGGCAUGUUAGAAUAUCACAAAAAGGACGAAGUCUUUAAACAAUAUUGCUACAACUUGGAUCAACCAUGACAGUAAACAAGAGUAGGCAUGUCAAAAACAAAGGCCAUAAAUCAGCCCUAUGUAUACCACAAUAAUAACCUUACCAGUAUUUUCUCUACCACGUUUACGCUGUCUAUCUCCACUUAAAUCAACCAACUGUGAGUUAUGAUUGUUCUCAAGAUUCCCAUCCAGAGCCUUCACCUCAGCAUCACCGUGCUUACUCUCCUGACCAUCUUUUUUGUCUUUGUCCAACCCGCUUUCCUUAACCUUCAGUUCCUUCCCUUCCCUCAAUUCCAAAGAAAUCCUCUCAGAUUUCCUCUUUGAUUGCCUUUUACUUUCAUCUUUCUCCACCACCAAGGAUUUCACAUUCUCCUCCUUGUUCUCACCCCCAGUUCCACUCUCAUGCCUCUUACUCUUACUCUUAGAAUCAACUCUCAAACUUUCCCCUUUAUUAUUACUUUCCUUCAACUUCAUGUCAAUUUUUGAACUUCCCCCUUUAUUUAUUUCCUUCUCCACAUUCCUAUCACUGCGCCCUCUCUCCUCUCCAGCCCCAUCCCACCUAUCACCACUAACUCUUCCAGUUACAUCAGCCCUCUCCUUUUUGAGGUGAGCUUUCUCUUUUCUCCUCUUUGAAGACACGUACUCCUCUGAAGCCUCACCGUUCCCAUCACCACUCAGAUCUUUACAAUCCUUGCCUUUUCGGACCUGCGAUGAAAUUUUAUGCUUCUCACCACUGGCAGAAUCCCG
rnacentral:lncRNA from 1 species